GGAGGCAGAGGCAGGUGGCCGCGCGCGGGGAGGAGGAGGAGGAGAGGGAAGGAUGGGGGACAGCGCUGACCUCCACGGGGCCACGCCGCAGACUCAGCGACCCCCGAGGACAAGACCCCCGAUCCACAGACUGAGUCGGAGAGGGAGACCAAGGCUCUGGGGCGGGGCUUUUGUCCCACCCCGGAACCGGAAGUUGCCUUCGACAGUUGACAGCGGGACGGGGUCUCUCUGGGCCUCAGCGACGCUCCGCAGCUCUAUGACUUUCCAGUUGCCCACAAAGUAAGUACAUCGCCUGAUGGAGAAGAACUGAAGCUUUCAGCCAGACAGAUCUGGAGUGGGAGCGCAGGUCAGAGGAUUCAUCCCAUAUUGAGGAUUGGACCCAGGGCCUUGCUGACUCUCUACAAGCCCUCUUCACCAAGCUACACCCCAACCCCACCAAAGGAAAGCUUGACAGACUCCCCCACGCUGAGAAUCCUUGAUGUCUCAAGCAUCUAGAUGUAAGAGCCACCGAGACAUCCGCUCUGCCCACUCACUUGUGAUCUGAGCUCCGCAGUGUCACCGUGGGUGUCUGUCCUUGCCCUUCCAUUGUGUAGCUGGAGCACAGAUGCUCUGAAGACUCAAACUUGCGCUCCUCCCCUUGGCUAUCUGAGUAUUGAAGCAGGGGUCCCCAAGGAAUUGAGAGUUUCCCCAGGAAUGCCAUGCUGGGGAAAGGGAAAAUGUGAAGCCUGAGAAGGAAUUUGUCUCCUAGGAAGAGAUUUCAUACAGUUCUGACAACUUGCCAGACCUCCUUGUAGGAAAGACCGGAACCAAGACGAUUGAUUGGUAAUGGGGGCAGGGGGCGACAUCUUGGCAGGACUGCUUAGCUCUACACACCCCUUGCUUCCUAUUUCAACCUAAAAACCUCAUAUCAGAACCUGAAGAUGGACUAGGCAGAGGUAGGAGUCACUGGACCUCUUUAUUUGUGCCUCCUCCCAAUGUGGCCAUGGUGGAUAAACCCCCUUUCUCUGCUUUUCACUGUUACUUGUCUCUCACUCGGAAUAGGUGGCUGUACCUAGCUUGUUAGGGCUUCUGGGAUCCAGGUUCAUAUCCUUAAAAACUCUCGUAGUUGGAAUUCUGGGCCUGGGAAGAUGGCUCCGCUGUGAAAGGCAAUUGUUUGCAAAGCCUUCCAGUUCAGG